CAGUACAACCCACAAUCUCUGCACAGCAGGAUUCUGUCAGUGACCAGUCUGCAUUAACAUCAUCAAGUGCACAUACAAGUGGUAUGUGUCACACCUUCUGGCUUACACCCUCCUGCAUGACCCAAUGUGGACAGCAUGCACUACUGACACCCACAAACUGAUAUACACCAACUCCAUGGCUGCACCAAGUCAAACAAAGAAAGAAGAAACCUCCUAAAGUAAGCGAAUCCUCACCACUGUGAUUUCUUAGUGUGCAUGGGUGAUGGUUUCCUGUGAGAAACAUCACCUCACAUUAUGCUGCUCAUCUUUUUUUUUGUUCUACUGACAUCUGAGCAGUUUCCUCCUGAUCAUGUACAGGGGGGCCGUCGAGGCAGUCAUAUGAGUGGAUUAUUUGUUUUGUCUUUAUGACAUAGCAUCUCUGGGGAGUGAAGUUUGGCGGUAUGGCAUUACAAAGUAAUUUUAAAAAUAAAUGAAAGAAAGCAAUGGAAUGUUGGCAAAAGUCUUUAUGCCGUGUUUCAGACUGUUGGUCAGUAUCAUAAUGUCUGAUUAGCUCCUUUAGUGGGCAUUUCACAUAUGCAUGAGGGAAGCAGUUUUUUUAGUUGCCUUCUGGUGUUGUUUUAACUGGUAUCUUACUCACUUUUAUUAAUAUUUUUCUUUCUGUGCCAUAUAUAACAGUGCUCAGCAAGCCUAUCACAAGGUAGCACCAUCUUUGCCGCAACACAUGAUUUUAAUUGGGUGUCAUGCUAUUUUUUUGUGUACUAUGUAACUGGACAAAUACAGUAAUCUAUAAUACUAGUGAAAUGCUUUAUUCUCUGUCAAUAACAAGAUUAUACAAGCACAGUUCUUCCUAUAAAUUUGUUGGAUGUAGUUUAAAAAAAAAAAACAAGAUGUAUCUAAAAUCACCUUGUCAGAGAAUUACAAUAAACACCUUUACCUCUACAGACUGACAUGGCACCACCCAUGUAGGAUAAUGUGGCUUUCCUUCCAAAUUAACCAAACAUGCCAAGGCUUGAAAGGUUGUAUCUCAGGAUAAAUUAUAUAUGUGAUGCUUGGGACAAAAAGGUGGAUGGGGACCUCCUCUUUCCACUACAGUUUACCUGCUUAUUGUACUUCUCUAACACCUGUGUUCUCAAUUGAUGUCAGUUUCAAAGUAGUCCAGUCAAUAAAAUAUCUGUCACUGAAUUCAGUGUUAAAUUGUUCAGCAACAGUAUCUGCACUGUUAGAAGGUAUCUGUGUUUGUAAAUUUUGAUUUAUGCAAUAAAUAUACUGGUUGAGUUUCAUUUCUAUAUUGUAACCAAAACGAAACUGCUAUCACCAACACAGCUGAAAACCAAGUAACAGUAAGCGCUUUCACGCCAAUAUCUGGUGCUUCAUCAGACCUUAAAACAGUGAAAACACUAAUCAUUGAAAUAGUACUCACUUAACAGUUUUUUUAAAAAAAAAUCACAUGAUACAAACUAAAAAAUCACAUAUAGUCAAUACAAAGUAGC